GAUGAACGCUAGCGGCAGGCUUAACACAUGCAAGUCGAACGGCAGCACAGGUAGCAAUACUGGGUGGCGAGUGGCGCACGGGUGCGUAACGCGUAUGCAACCUACCUCUUACAGUGGGAUAGCCCAGAGAAAUUUGGAUUAAUACCGCAUAGUAUACAGAUUCAGCAUUGGGACUGUAUUAAACAUUUAUGGGUAAGAGAUGGGCAUGCGUUCUAUUAGUUAGUUGGAGUGGUAACGGCACCCCAAGACAGCGAUAGAUAGGGGCCCUGAGAGGGGGAUCCCCCACACUGGUACUGAGACACGGACCAGACUCCUACGGGAGGCAGCAGUGAGGAAUAUUGCGCAAUGGGCGAAAGCCUGACGCAGCCACGCCGCGUGAGCGAUGAAGGCCCUUGGGUCGUAAAGCUCUGUGGGGGAGAAGAAAAAGCCGGUGAAGAGCCGGCCCUGACGGUAUCCCCUUAGCAAGCACCGGCUAACUCCGUGCCAG
rnacentral:rRNA from 1 species